UACGGAGGGUGCAAACGUUGCUCGGAAUCAUUGGGCGUAAAGCGCACGUAGGCGGACUGUUAAGUCGGACGUGAAAUCCCUCAGCUUAACUGAGGAAGUGCAUUCGAAACUGGCAGUCUUGAGUACGGGAGAGGGUCGCGGAAUUCCCGGUGUAGAGGUGAAAUUCGUAGAUAUCGGGAGGAACACCAGUGGCGAAGGCGGCGGCCUGGACCGAUACUGACGCUGAGGUGCGAAAGCGCGGGGAGCAAACAGG
rnacentral:rRNA from 1 species